CCUACGGGAGGCAGCAGUGAGGAAUAUUGGUCAAUGGUCGGGAGACUGAACCAGCCAAGCCGCGUGAGGGAGGAAGGUACAGAGUAUCGUAAACCUCUUUUGUCAGGGAACAAAGACUGGGACGCGUCCCCGGAUGAGUGUACCUGAAGAAAAAGCAUCGGCUAACUCCGUGCCAGCAGCCGCGGUAAUACGGAGGAUGCGAGCGUUAUCCGGAUUUAUUGGGUUUAAAGGGGGCGCAGACGGCCAUGGCAAGCCCGGUGGGAAAGGCAGGGGCAUAACCCCUGUACUGCACUGGGAACUGUCAGGCUGGAGUGCCGGAGGGGUAAGCGGAAUUCCUGGUGUAGCGGUGAAAUGCGUAGAUAUCAGGAGGAACACCGGCGGCGAAGGCGGCUUACUGGACGGCAACUGACGUUGAGGCCCGAAAGCGUGGGGAGCGAACAGGAUUAGAUACCCCAGUAGUC
rnacentral:rRNA from 1 species